rnacentral:rRNA from 1 species
AUUGAACGCUGGCGGCAGGCCUAACACAUGCAAGUCGAGCGAGCGGCGGACGGGUGAGUAAUGUAUGGGGACUGCCCGAUAGAGGGGGAUAACUACUGGAAACGGUGGCUAAUACCGCAUACUAUCGGAUAACCCAUAUGGGAUUAGCUAGUAGGUGGGGUAAAGGCUCACCUAGGCGAUGAUCCCUAGCUGGUCUGAGAGGAUGAUCAGCCACACUGGGACUGAGACACGGGCCAGACGGCUACGGAGGGAGUAGGUGGGAAUAUUUGAAAAUGGGCGGAAGCCUGAUUCAGCCAUGCCGGGUGUAUGAAGGAGGCCUUAGGGUUGUAAAGUACUUUUAGCGGGGAGGCGUUACCCGCAGAAGAAGCACCGGCUAAAUCCGUGCCAGCCGCCGCGGUAAUUUC